GAUAAACGCUGGCGGCGUGCCUAAUACAUGCAAGUCGAGCGAACAGACGAGGAGCUUGCUCCUCUGACGUUAGCGGCGGACGGGUGAGUAACACGUGGAUAACCUACCUAUAAGACUGGGAUAACUUCGGGAAACCGGAGCUAAUACCGGAUAAUAUAUUGAACCGCAUGGUUCAAUAGUGAAAGACGGUUUUGCUGUCACUUAUAGAUGGAUCCGCGCCGCAUUAGCUAGUUGGUAAGGUAACGGCUUACCAAGGCAACGAUGCGUAGCCGACCUGAGAGGGUGAUCGGCCACACUGGAACUGAGACACGGUCCAGACUCCUACGGGAGGCAGCAGUAGGGAAUCUUCCGCAAUGGGCGAAAGCUUGACGGAGCAACGCCGCGUGAGUGAUGAAGGUCUUCGGAUCGUAAAACUCUGUUAUUAGGGAAGAACAAAUGUGUAAGUAACUAUGCACGUCUUGACGGUACCUAAUCAGAAAGCCACGGCUAACUACGUG
rnacentral:rRNA from 1 species